rnacentral:misc_RNA from 1 species
GAUGAAGAACGCAGCGAAAUGCGAUAAGUAAUGCGAAUUGCAGAAUUCCAGUGAGUCAUCGAAUCUUUGAACGCACAUUGCGCCCAUUGGUAUUCCGAUGGGCAUGCCUGUUCGAGCGUCAUUAUCAACCCUCAAGCCCCUUUGGCUUGGUGUUGGGUCUCACCGUUGAACGGGAACGGUGGAUCCGAAAGACAAUGGCGGAGCCUGUGGGCCCUGGAGGUAGCGAGCUCCUCAGCACACGUCCAGACGGCGUCCAGGCUCCGUCUCAACCAUCUAUUUCUUCUGGUUGACCUCGGAUCAGGUAGGGAUACCCGCUGAACUUAAGCAUAUCAAUAAGCGGAGGA